rnacentral:rRNA from 1 species
CGGCCAUUGGGGCGGUGUCCGACCUGGUCUCAUUCCGAACCCAGAAGUCAAAUCCGCCACCGCCGUUGUGUUAGUGAGGUGCGCGAGCCCUCGCGAAGCAACGGUGCCG